CCUACGGGGAGCAGCAGUGGGGAUUAUUGGACAAUGGGCGAAAGCCUGAUCCAGCCAUGCCGCGUGUGUGAAGAAGGCCUUCGGGUUGUAAAGCACUUUCAGUGGGGAAGAAAGCCUUGGGGCUAAUACCCUCGAGGAAGGACAUCACCCACAGAAGAAGCACCGGCUAACUCCGUGCCAGCAGCCGCGGUAAUACGGAGGGUGCGAGCGUUAAUCGGAAUUACUGGGCGUAAAGCGCGCGUAGGCGGUCUGAUAAGCCGGUUGUGAAAGCCCCGGGCUCAACCUGGGAACGGCAUCCGGAACUGUCAGGCUAGAGUGCAGGAGAGGAAGGUAGAAUUCCCGGUGUAGCGGUGAAAUGCGUAGAGAUCGGGAGGAAUACCAGUGGCGAAGGCGGCCUUCUGGACUGACACUGACGCUGAGGUGCGAAAGCGUGGGUAGCAAACAGGAUUAGAUACCCUAGUAGUC
rnacentral:rRNA from 1 species